UGUCACAGCAAAAUUGCAUAGUCUAAUUGGGGCCUAAUAGUUUGUGGGACUGACUGAAGUGCUGAUUAUUUUGUGGGACAGAUGUGUGGGAUGGAAAUUGGGUUUGUAAAAAUCCAUGUAAAAGCGAACAAGCUAGCAAAGGCAAGGUUACGGAUUUUGUUUGAAUGAUUCAUAGUGUACUGAGUAAUUUGACCAUCAUAAUAGUGCUAAGUACUUUGAAAAUGACAGUGAUAUCAAGUAUAAAAGUGUUGUGAAGGAAUAUACUUACCAUUAUGUGAUGGAGAUUUAUUGAAGAGUUUGUUUCAAAGUUAUAUUUUGUGAAUGGGUGGAAGUGCCUUGCCUGUCUACAAACAUGCCUUUCGACUUCUUGUGUUGCGUGAGGCCUGGAGUAGAAGAUGUUAUGGAACUGGACUAUUCGCACCAGUCGCUGUCCGAUGUCCCGACCGAAGUGUUUGUAUACGAAAGGACACUGGAGAGUUUAUAUUGCCAAAGUAACCGUAUCACUGAAUUGCCGCGCCAGCUAUUUAUGUGCCAUGGGUUGAAGUAUCUCGACCUCAGUGAUAACGAAUUGCAAGCCAUACCAGUCGCCAUAUCAUCGUUGGUUAAUUUACAGCAUCUGAACAUAAGUAGAAAUACAUUAGCAUCCAUACCUGACACUAUGAAAGCAUUGAAGUUUCUGGUAUUUUUAGAUCUUAGUGUGAAUCCACUGGAAAAGUUGCCAGAUGCCAUCACAAACUUGAUAGCUUUGCAAGAGCUUUAUUUAAAUGAUACUUAUCUAGAAUACCUACCCGGAAACUUUGGUAGACUUGCAAGUUUAAGAAUUCUUGAGUUAAGAGAUAAUUAUUUAAUGAUUUUACCAAAAUCCUUAUCACGCUCCACAGAGUUAUUACGCUUGGAUAUAGGUCAAAAUGAAUUUCAACAGUUUCCUGAGGUGAUUGGAAGAUUUACAAAGUUAAGAGAAUUAUGGAUGGACAGUAACAGUUUGACAAGUAUUCCAGGAGCAAUAAAGCCUUUGGAAUGUUUAGUACAUCUUGAAGCCAGUAAUAAUAUGAUAGAAGAGCUGGCUUCUGAAAUAGGAUACUGCACAGAGCUGGUGGACUUGAGUCUCUCCAUAAACAGUUUGACACAGCUUCCAGAUUCUAUUGGACAGUUAAGUAAUUUGACAACUCUUAAGUUAGACAACAAUAGGUUGUAUGCUAUACCAGACAGCAUUGGUCAGCUGGCAAACUUAGAAGAACUGAUGUUAAUGUGCAACUACUUAGAUAAAAUACCUUCUUCCAUAGGUUUACUUAGAAAAUUACAAUAUUUAAAUGUUGAUGACAAUAUGUUACGAAUGAUCCCUCCAGAAAUAGGGAGUUGCUCUAAACUAUCGGUCUUGUCACUUCGUGCAAACAAACUGGUCAGGAUUCCUCCGGAAGUCGGGCAUUUAUCUUCCUUGAGAGUUUUAAAUUUGGUGAGAAAUUCACUCAGUUAUCUUCCACAGUCCUUGUUAAAUUGUGAUAAUUUAGUAGCCCUCUGGCUAUCUGAAAAUCAAAGUAAACCUUUAGUGCCUAUGCAUUCUGAAGUAGACCCUCAUACUUAUGAACAAGUCCUCACAUGUUUUCUUUUUCCCCAAGUGCCUUUAACCCCUAUGGAAAUCAAACCAGAGGAAAAAUCUGAAAAUAUAGAUUCACAACCGACAUCUCGUCAUAUCAGUUUUGUUGACAUGAAACCUACACCAAAAGCUCCUGAAAAACCAGGUCAAUUAAGACGAGCUCCUACUCCUUAUCCUAAAGAAUUGAGAGCAUUAGCCAAACAUGCUAGAAAUAUUCAUAAAGAUGGCACUCAGGAUGUUUCUCCUCCAAUGCAAAAUGCAGUUCAUAUUAAAGCAGCUAAGAUAACUCCAACUCUGCAACAAAGGUUUGCUACAGACAACAAAAUAGAAAUUGAUUCUUGUGGAAAAGAUAAACCUGAUGGUAUAGAUGUUAUGAAAAUAUCAGUUUAUGACAAUCUUCCUGUUGAUAAUGCCUAUGACAAACCCUUGGAUCUAAAUUAUGAAAAAGAUGCCACAUAUAAAAGUGUAGAUCAUGCUCUUUACCCAGAGAAUAAUGGAGGCCCAAGUAAUGAUUUCAAAAGUGAAAAUGUUGAUCACUAUCCAAUGUCCCAAAGAAUUUAUAGUACAAAACAAAAUGAAAAUUUUUCAUCAAAGCAAGAUAUGGAUAGAACAAACACUUCUGUUGUUUCAAAUUUAUAUGGCAACCAUAAUACCGAGACACAUAAAAAGUAUCCUGUUACCAAUAUAAGUAGUUUAGAAGAAACUCGUAAUAGAUUACAAGGCCUCACAUUGAAAUCUCAAGAAAGGCGUUUGAACAAUGAGACCAUAUUAUCUCCCCAUUUUGAAGAUAACUCUUAUAAUAAGCCUAGAGUUAUUGACAAUAUUUCACCUUUUGGACCCAUGUAUUCGAGAAAAGAUCAUGCUUGCCAUACACUAUCAGAAGGAAAUUACAGGGAAAGUGUUUAUGAUAGUGAAACAUAUUCCCGCUCUAAGGAGAAAUCAUAUGGUUCAAAACCUUUUGAUACUUAUGGUUACCAUGGUCAUGGUAGCCAUGGUAGAGAUUUAUCCAGUCCACAAAUUCACACUGUAAGUCAAGUAGUCAGCUCUACAACAAUGCCAAAUUUAAGUAAUUAUAAUAUCAGUUAUGCAGGGUCUGGUAUAGAAAGUUCUCACUAUGUGUCAUCAACGCACCACACAUCAACACCAAAUGCAAAUGUGUAUGGUGUGCCUUUAAGUCCUACAUAUGUUUCCUCACAGUCUCCUGAACUAUAUUCUCCAACUGGCCAUACAAGUACCACAAAUCCUUAUCGAAUGACAAAUACACCUCUUAUUUCUGACGAUGGUAGUUACAGUCACAUAAAUUCUCCAACAAGUCAAAACAUGUUUGAUUUGUAUGAUGCUAUACCAGCAUCAUCCAAUCCUCCAAGUGUUGUAAAUCAUCGUCACAGCCCCAGUGUCCUAUCAGAGCCAGUAUAUAACCGUGGUCAGCCACCUCCAUACCAUAUUGCUGCCCCUUAUACAAAACAUGCACAAUAUUUUAAUGGAACUGGAGGAUAGUGACGACAGAUUAAAGGAAAGCAUAAAUGUUUUCCAUAUAGAACAAAUCCUUGUGGAUACUAUUAAAGCUUUUAAAAAUUCUGCAGAUGUACUUAUAAUAGUCACUAUCCAUUUAGAGGGUUCCCUGUGAAAAAAUGGAAUGUUAAUCAAUAGAAAUAAAAAUAACUAAUUCAGAUAACUUCACUUUUUAAAUGUUGUAAGUGUGUUAUUUUUGUUCUACAAUAAUCAACAUUUCCUUUACCAUUCAAUUUACCACAUGGAACCAGUUUUAUGGAUGUGCAAUUCAAAUGUGAUAUAUUGUUGAAGUUGAUAUGUAAUGAGGUGCUAAGAGAUGGAUCAUUGUUGGAAUUGGAUCAUUAUUUGAACAAAACAAGUUUGAAAUUAUGUAUAAUGGAAUGUUAAUACUUUCAAAUGGUAAUGUGGCAAAAUCUAAUUAUUAAAAACAUGUAGGUACUAUUUAGUACAAUUCGUAACAACUAUGUUGUUUCUUUAAUGUGAAAUGUUGUAAUAAUUAUGUAUAUAUAUUAGGAUAUAUGAUAUAUUACAUAUAUUAUGACCACACAGUGUCAUAGUAUAUACCCCAUGGAAUGGUAAUACUAUACAUAUAUAUAACAAUUAUGUUUGUUUACUUAGAUAUAUGCAUGUACAAAUUAGUUUUCUCAAAUCGCCGUAUAGUCGUCUUAUUCAAUAUAUUUUGAGCCUAUUUUGCUAUAAUUUUAUUUAUUUUUGUAAAAGUCAUCAUAUUUUUUAUAAAAGACUUGACUAGCCUGCCACUGUAUACGUGUGCUCUCAACCUAUCGCCGGUUGACUGUAAGAGAUCCCUUAGUGGGAUGAGUCCGCCGUUGUACAUAUAUCUUUCUUGUAAUAAUUUUGAUAAAUGUACUUAUUUUCGUGCAAUAAAGUUAUUACAAACAAACAAGUCAUUCACUUUCAUACUUAGUUUUCCGUUUCUGAGUUUAAAAUAUUAGUAUAAAAAUGUGAUUUAAGUAAAUACCUACAUAAAUAAAUUGUGAAGCAUAUAUAUUUUGAGAAGUAUUUGUAAUAAGUUAUAAACAUUCUUCAUAUUGUAAUAACGAAAUCGCAAUCAGAAAAGUCGCGCUAUGAUUUAUCAAAAAAGAAGUAUCUAAACUUAAAUUGAAAUAUAAAUUUAUUUUCUAUUUGGAAAAUGUAUGUGUACACUGUUAAGAUGUAUCAGUAUAGCAUUACGCACGCACUGUGUUUAAAGAUAUAUUCUAAUAAAAGUAAAUGUCACACACAUUAAUUUUAACUUUAUUAAAAUUUUACGAUACCUAUAUAAAGUUAAUUUGAGCUUUCCUAUUUAUUUCAAUAGACGUAUAUAAAUAAGAUGAUGUGGAAAUAUAGAUAAUAGAAGCUAUCGUAAACAAAUGUUAAAAAUUAAAUGUAAUGCCUUAUUAUAUUUAACGAUAAAUUCAUUGAAAUAGUUAAUUGUAUAAGUUCUUAGAAGUAUUAUUUAUUAGCAAUGAUUUAUUGUUUGUUUGAACCUCCAAAUUUUAGAUUAAACGAAAAAAUAUUUCAACUCAUCACAAACAAUAGUAUAUAGGUAUAUUAUUUAAAAUUAUUGCGAACGGUAUUUUGUUUUCUUUCAAACUGUAAUGCCAACGUAAAAUGACAUAGGUAAAUACAGACGUAUAUUGUAUUUCAACAAUGGAUGUUGAAUUUUACUCAAUAUUUUUUAAAAUAAUCUAGUCAAUAUGUACAUAAUACUUAUAGUAUGUUUGUUAAAACAAAAAUAUGUAAUACAGCAGCAAUCACAACUUUUUAAAUGUUGGGACCAUUUUUAUCAUCAAUAAACUUUGUUUUACGAUUUGUUCUUAAAAUUAAAAUAUUUGUAAAUAGAUUCAGACUUAAUAAUGAGGGCUCCUGUUAAAUGUUUUGGACAAUUCAUGUUGUUAACUAUUUACAUUUUAAAAUUUAAAUAUCAAUAAAUUAACGAAACCAAUACUACGGAUUUUACGUAUUCUUAAAUGAAACAUUUCCAUAGCUAUAACAAAUUAUUUUAAUGUCAUAUCUUUAUCGAAUAAAUGUUUUACAGCAUUUAUGUUAAGCUUUAGUACACUCAGUGUCAUAUGAACUUAGUCAAACCAUAAGUCUUCAGAGUUUCGCGACUUUUAGAUUUGUCUAUUCCGUAAAAUGUAUACGUACUAUAAAGAUAGUAGAUACCUUGCAGCAGUGUGACUUUAGGUCAAGUCGCUGUGACGAUACGAGCACAAAAUUUCUACCUUGGUUCCUAGUUGGUGUGCUAUUGAGUGUACCAAUAAUGUCUAAAAUACGCUCUUCUGGAUCAUCAAGUAAAAUUCCAAAAAUAUUCCGUGAGUGUUGAUUAUAUACAUUUUACUCUAUAAUAAAUAAAGUAUCUAUCUAUUUACCACGAAAUAUAUGAAUCUUAAGUUGUUUGAAUUAAUUAAAUCAUCAAGUAACAUUGAAAAAAACAAACAGAACAAAACGCUACAUUUUCUGAAGACUGAAAUUUAAAACAUAUCAUAUAAUUUAUCUUUGUAUUUUCUUGUAUUAAGUUUUAUAUUUUUGUAACUGUACAUUUAAAAAAAUAUACCAGGGACAUUGAAUACCUUGCAACCUCGUAAUGUAACUGUAAUUUACCAGAAUAUAAUUAAGUACCUAAAUUCGUGAAAAAAGUUCGGCAAUAAAUCGUCCUUAAUAUUAUUUAAGUACCUAAAUCAAUCCAAUGUACACCGCGUUUUUUGGAGGAAUUCGAAUUUGAGCUUGAGUUUGGGCUUUUCUGGUAGUGAAAAAUGGGAUAUCUAAGUAAAGCAAAACCUUUUGGUUAAUUUACUUGUGUAAAAAGUUAUCAUUAUUAAAAUAUUUGAUUUAAAUUUUCUACGGAAUUUUACUUACCUAGUAGUUUAGGCAAAAAACGAUUGAAAACUGUACAUGCACGUUAGUUUCAGUUAUUAUUUUAAUACGCAUAAAUAAUAUUUUAAGUAAAUUGCAAUAAACCGUUGCAAAAGUUUUGGUCAUAUACUUCAUACCUACUGGUAUGGUAUAAUUUAUUUAUGUGACGCAACACAAUUUGAAUUUCUUGUGAUAUGCCAACCAUAUGGUAUACCAACCUGAUUUCUUAUAUAACAUUUAGAUAGGAUACUGAUCAUUUCCCGGAAUAUUAAAAAAUAUGUCAUCACAAAUAAGUGAUUCAGUGUUAAGUUGGAUACUACGGAACGAACUUAUCGUAUAGCGUACAACCAAAGUUCGAGUAGGUAGUAGGCGCGUGGUGUGUGGGUUUACACAGGAAACAGCCCUGAAAAUAUAAUUUCCCACGAUCUCUACCCACAUAAUGUAAACACUGUUGUACCUAUCAAGAAAUCGAUUAGAUGCGCGCGCCGUUCUUUUGAUGUCGCGAGUAUUUCUACUCGACCAUCGGACCUGAAUUUCGUAAAUAUUUUCACUGGCUGGAGAAAUUG